rnacentral:rRNA from 1 species
GAUGAACGCUGGCGGCGUGCCUAAUACAUGCAAGUCGAGCGAAUCUUUAGGAGCUUGCUCCUAAAGGUUAGCGGCGGACGGGUGAGUAACACGUGGGCAACCUGCCUAUAAGACUGGGAUAACUUCGGGAAACCGGAGCUAAUACCGGAUAAUUCCUUUCCUCUCAUGAGGAAAGGCUGAAAGACGGUUUCGGCUGUCACUUAUAGAUGGGCCCGCGGCGCAUUAGCUAGUUGGUGAGGUAACGGCUCACCAAGGCAACGAUGCGUAGCCGACCUGAGAGGGUGAUCGGCCAAACUGGGACUGAGACACGGCCCAGACUCCGACGGGAGGCAGCAGUAGGGAAUCUUCCGCAAUGGACGAAAGUCUGACGGAGCAACGCCGCGUGAGUGAUGAAGGUUUUCGGAUCGUAAAACUCUGUUGUUAGGGAAGAACAAGUACGGGAGUAACUGCUCGUACCUUGACGGUACCUAACCAGAAAGCCACGGCUAACUACGUGCCAGCAGCCGCCGUAAAAC